rnacentral:rRNA from 1 species
UCAAGUGAAUAAGUGCAUCAGGUGGAUGCCUUGGCGAUGAUAGGCGACGAAGGACGUGUAAGCCUGCGAAAAGCGUGGGGGAGCUGGCAAUAAAGCUAUGAUCCCGCGAUGUCCGAAUGGGGAAACCCACCUCUUAGGAGGUAUCCUUAUCUGAAUACAUAGGAUAAGAGAAGCGAACCCGGAGAACUGAACCAUCUAAGUACCCGGAGGAAAAGAAAUCAACCGAGAUUCCGUAAGUAGUGGCGAGCGAACGCGGAGGAGCCUGUACGUGAUAACUGUCGAGAUAGAAGAACAAGCUGGGAAGCUUGACCAUAGUGGGUGAUAGUCCCGUAUUCGAAAUCUCAAUAGUGGUACUAAGCGUACGAAAAGUAGGGCGGGACACGUGAAAUCCUGUCUGAAUAUGGGGGGACCAUCCUCCAAGGCUAAAUACUCAUCAUCGACCGAUAGUGAACCAGUACCGUGAGGGAAAGGCGAAAAGAACCCCGGGAGGGGAGUGAAAUAGAACCUGAAACCUGAUGCAUACAAACAGUGGGAGCACCCUUGUGGUGUGACUGCGUACCUUUUGUAUAAUGGGUCAACGACUUACAUUCAGUAGCGAGCUUAACCGAAUAGGGGAGGCGUAGGGAAACCGAGUCUUAAUAGGGCGAACAGUUGCUGGGUGUAGACCCGAAACCGAGUGAUCUAUCCAUGGCCAGGUUGAAGGUGCCGUAACAGGUACUGGAGGACCGAACCCACGCAUGUUGCAAAAUGCGGGGAUGAGCUGUGGAUAGGGGUGAAAGGCUAAACAAACUCGGAGAUAGCUGGUUCUCCCCGAAAACUAUUUAGGUAGUGCCUCGAGCAAGACACUGAUGGGGGUAAAGCACUGUUAUGGCUAGGGGGUUAUUGCAACUUACCAACCCAUGGCAAACUAAGAAUACCAUCAAGUGGUUCCUCGGGAGACAGACAGCGGGUGCUAACGUCCGUUGUCAAGAGGGAAACAACCCAGACCGCCAGCUAAGGUCCCAAAUGAUAGAUUAAGUGGUAAACGAAGUGGGAAGGCCCAGACAGCCAGGAUGUUGGCUUAGAAGCAGCCAUCAUUUAAAGAAAGCGUAAUAGCUCACUGGUCGAGUCGUCCUGCGCGGAAGAUGUAACGGGGCUCAAAUCUAUAACCGAAGCUGCGGAUGCCAGUUUACUGGCAUGGUAGGGGAGCGUUCUGUAGGCCGAUGAAGGUGCAUUGUAAAGUGUGCUGGAGGUAUCAGAAGUGCGAAUGUUGACAUGAGUAGCGAUAAAGCGGGUGAAAAGCCCGCUCGCCGAAAGCCCAAGGUUUCCUACGCAACGUUCAUCGGCGUAGGGUGAGUCGGCCCCUAAGGCGAGGCAGAAAUGCGUAGUCGAUGGGAAACAGGUUAAUAUUCCUGUACUUGAUUCAAAUGCGAUGUGGGGACGGAGAAGGUUAGGUUAGCAAGCUGUUGGAAUAGCUUGUUUAAGCCGGUAGGUGGAAGACUUAGGCAAAUCCGGGUCUUCUUAACACCGAGAAGUGAUGACGAGUGUCUACGGACAUGAAGUAACCGAUACCACGCUUCCAGGAAAAGCCACUAAGCUUCAGUUUGAAUUGAACCGUACCGCAAACCGACACAGGUGGGCAGGAUGAGAAUUCUAAGGCGCUUGAGAGAACUCAGGAGAAGGAACUCGGCAAAUUGAUACCGUAACUUCGGGAGAAGGUAUGCCCUCUAAGGUUAAGGACUUGCUCCGUAAGCCCUGGAGGGUCGCAGAGAAUAGGUGGCUGCGACUGUUUAUUAAAAACACAGCACUCUGCUAACACGAAAGUGGACGUAUAGGGUGUGACGCCUGCCCGGUGCUGGAAGGUUAAUUGAAGAUGUGAGAGCAUCGGAUCGAAGCCCCAGUAAACGGCGGCCGUAACUAUAACGGUCCUAAGGUAGCGAAAUUCCUUGUCGGGU